ACUUUUCCAGAUCUAGGAGCAUCAUGGACACCUCGUCAGAGAUGCUGGUACGGUUUGGACGGCGCUGUGGACGGGCGAAGGAAAGUACAGCAAAGUAGAUCUCCAGCAGGUCACCAUAAUUCCACACGAUGAGUGGAAAAGGAUUCAAGAUAGCCUUGACAGGUUGACAAGAGAAGCAGCAUGCCUCCGUGCAGAAAGAAAGGCAAAGAAAGAAAUGCAUUUGCGAUCUCAAGAAGUGGUAAAACACUGGACUAAUACAUAUGCAGGGAUGAAAGAACAGAAACUUGAAGCCAAAAAGAAGCGUGAUGAAGAAAUAGAGGCAGAAAGACAAAUUCUUGAUCUGGAAGAAGAAAUAUACAAACAAGGAAA
rnacentral:lncRNA from 1 species